rnacentral:rRNA from 1 species
AUACGGAGGGUGCGAGCGUUAAUCGGAAUUACUGGGCGUAAAGCGUGCGUAGGCGGCAUGGUCAGUCGGAUGUGAAAGCCCAGGGCUUAACCUUGGAAUUGCAUUCGAUACUGCCAAGCUAGAGUAUGUUAGAGGAAAGUGGAAUUCCCGGUGUAGCGGUGAAAUGCGUAGAUAUCGGGAGGAACAUCAGUGGCGAAGGCGACUUUCUGGAACACUACUGACGCUGAGGCGCGAAAGCGUGGGGAGCAAACGGGAUUAGAAACCCGAGUAGUCC